UGCGUAGGCGGUAAUUCAAGUCAGAUGUGAAAUCCCCGGGCUUAACUCGGGACGUGCAUUUGAAACUGGGUUACUUGAGUAAAGAAGAGGUAAGUGGAAUUCCUAGUGUAGCGGUGAAAUGCGUAGAUAUUAGGAGGAACACCAGUGGCGAAGGCGACUUACUGGUCUUUUACUGACGCUGAGGCACGAAAGCGUGGGGAGCAAACAGGAUUAGAUACCCUGGUAGUCC
rnacentral:rRNA from 1 species